AAGCUAUGAGUGGAGAUCAGGGUUACUCCCAGGCUGAUUUCAAUCCUGGUGUAGCAAUAUCAUGUUUGCUGACAUAGUUACCAUACUUCAACGGCAUUUCAAUGUGAUCACAGGUGCUAUUAUUAUUAGCAAUACUGACAAGGACUGAAGUUUUAAGUAGUAUCGUUAGACUGACACCAGUCCAGGACCAGCAAGAUACCAUCCCUGUCUACAAUAACAGCACAGCUUAGGAAAAGCUGUUGGAUAUGGUACCCAAAUAUGAUUUUUUUUCCUACACAAACAGCCAAAACGGGCAGGUCAUCACGUUGUUUUACCAGGAACACAAAUGGGGAUAUUUACGCUUUGAAAGGAUGCAUUUUAUUUCUGCUUGCUUCACUCACAGGAGGCAUCAACUCUUGCUGAGUAGAGUUCCACAGACACCAGCAACCCCAAAAGGUGCUAAACUUUAACGAAGGUCAGACAGUAACACUUUUACUGCAACUUAACAGGGUCUGGUCCACACCAAGAGGAACAAGUUUUGUUCGAGGGAGCCAUUGCCUGGGUAACAAGAACACAUUAUGUACCAGCAUUGUAUACAAGUGGCCUACUAAAUAUGAUUCAUUCUCUGUACAGGAAGUAUCCUCACUACUAUCUUCAUGGAAAUUCACUCGAGAAAAAGAAGGUUUCCCUCGACCCUGCUUCGAAGGGGUUGUGCUAGUGCAAGAAAGAAGACACUUUUUAGGAUAGAAGCUUGUGGGGAGAGCUUGGAAAAUGGUAUCGUUUCCUCUACAUACACACUAGUCUACUUGCCACCCUCCAGAUAAUGGGUGAUACCCACUCUUGCAUGUCCCUCUCAGUAUUCAUCUGCAACCUUUGACAUUAUGUUAGAGAAAAGUGGCACUAUCACAAAAUAUGUUGCAACAAGGUGAGACUUGGGGGGCAAUUUUAGCCUAACCAGCACAUCGCAGAUCUAACCCAGCCAGUAAAAUAGAGCAUCAGAGAGGAAAACAUAAUUACUCAACACUCCAGCUAGGCUGUUAUUCAAAGAAAGUGGUUAUAUGUCAUUAACUCUGUGUAACCCACACAACAUAGUUUACACUGGAGGCCUACCAAUUAUAUGUUGAAUAUAGACUUUGAACAUAUGCUUUUUAAGUCUGUAUUGUUGCUUUGAACAGCAAAUGUGACUGUUACACUCUACUGUAAUUUGGUUAAAAACCCAGUUAAGACAGCCAAGUUCACUGUAGUACUGAAGAGGUGUUAGAUUCUGUUGAUUUACUCUGAACUUGAGUUUUACUUUUACCAAUAAAAAAACAAACUGUGA